UACGGGGGGAGCAAGGCGUUGUUCGGAUUUACUGGGCGUAAAGGGCGCGUAGGCGGUCAGCACAAGUCAGUUGUGAAAUCUCCGGGCUUAACUCGGAAAGGUCAACUGAUACUGUGCGACUAGAGUGCGGAAGGGCAACUGGAAUUCUCGGUUGUAGCGGUGAAAUGCGUAGAUAUCGAGAGGAACACCUGCGGCGAAGGCGGGUUGCUGGGCCGACACUGACGCUGAUGCGCGAAAGCCAGGGGAGCGAACGGG
rnacentral:rRNA from 1 species